rnacentral:rRNA from 1 species
UACGUAGGGAGCUAGCGUUGUCCGGAAUCAUUGGGCGUAAAGCGCGCGUAGGCGGCCCGGUAAGUCCGCUGUGAAAGUCAAAGGCUCAACCUUUGAAUGUCAGCGGAUACUGCCGGCUAGAGUCCGGAAGAGGCGAGUGGAACUCCUGGUGUAGCGGUGGAAUGCGCAGAUAUCAGGAAGAACACCAACGGCGAAGGCAGCUCGCUGGGACGGAACUGACGCUAAGGCGCGAAAGCGUGGGGAGCGAACAGG